rnacentral:rRNA from 1 species
GACGAACGCUGGCGGCGUGCUUAACACAUGCAAGUCGAACGGAAAGGCCCUGCUUGCAGGGUACUCGAGUGGCGAACGGGUGAGUAACACGUGGGUGAUCUGCCCUGCACUUCGGGAUAAGCCUGGGAAACUGGGUCUAAUACCGGAUAGGAGCCAUUUUUAGUGUGAUGGUUGGAAAGUUUUUUCGGUGUAGGAUGAGCUCGCGGCCUAUCAGCUUGUUGGUGGGGUAAUGGCCUACCAAGGCGGCGACGGGUAGCCGGCCUGAGAGGGUGGACGGCCACAUUGGGACUGAGAUACGGCCCAGACUCCUACGGGAGGCAGCAGUGGGGAAUAUUGCACAAUGGGCGCAAGCCUGAUGCAGCGACGCCGCGUGGGGGAUGACGGCCUUCGGGUUGGAAACUCCUUUCGCUAGGGACGAAGCUUUCUGUGACGGUACCUAGAUAAGAAGCACCGGCUAACUACGUG